rnacentral:rRNA from 1 species
UACGGAGGGUGCAAACGUUGCUCGGAAUCAUUGGGCGUAAAGCGCACGUAGGCGGUCCGGCAAGUCGGGUGUGAAAGCCCUCGGCUUAACCAAGGAAGUGCAUUCGAAACUACCGGACUUGAAUACUGGAGAGGGUCGCGGAAUUCCCGGUGUAGAGGUGAAAUGCGUAGAUAUCUGGAGGAAUACCGGUGGCGAAGGCGGCAUCCUGGACCGGCAUUGACGCUGAGUGAGCGAAAGCCAGGGGAGCAAACGGG